rnacentral:lncRNA from 1 species
UUUGGUCUGAAAUAGGCUAAGAACCCACACACAUGUCUUUGAAGCAGUAAAUGGCUUGACUAGUGUUGUUUAGGGUUAGAAUAUGUUAGAAUACAAUGGGUUUGAUUGAUUAAAAGUGCUAGAGAUGCAUGAAGAAUGUUUAGAAGUGUGUAGAAAUACUUGCAGAAAUUUGGUCCGAAAUGGGCUAAUAACCCACAAACAUUGCUUUGAAGAAUUAAAUGGCUUGUAUAGUGUUGUUUGGGAUUAUAAUAUGUUAGAAUAUAAUAAAUUUGACUGAUUAAAAGUGCUAGAGAUGCAUGAAG